rnacentral:rRNA from 1 species
AACGAACGCUGGCGGCGUGCCUAACACAUGCAAGUCGUACGAGAAACACUUCCUUCGGGUUGUGGAGUAAAGUGGCGCACGGGUGAGUAACACGUGGGUAACCUGCCCUCGGGAUCGGGAUAACUGGCCGAAAGGCCCGCUAAUACCGGAUAAGACCACGAGAACUACGGUUCUUGGGGUAAAAGUCGGCCUCUCAUAGAAGCCGGCGCCUGAAGAUGGGCCCGCGGACCAUUAGCUAGUUGGUAAGGUAACGGCUUACCAAGGCCGAGAUGGUUAGCUGGUCUGAGAGGAUGAUCAGCCACACUGGAACUGAGAUACGGUCCAGACUCCUACGGGAGGCUG